ensembl:piRNA 21ur-14357 ncRNA
UUCCUUUUUUGAAUUUUGAAA